rnacentral:rRNA from 1 species
AUUAGAUACCCCAAUAGUCAAAGCAGAAAAUGAUGAAUGUCAUAGAUUAGAUAUACAAUUUAUUCUAUAAAUGAAAGUGUAAGCAUUCCACCUCAAGAGUAAUUUGGCAACAUUGGAACUGAAAUCAUUAGACCGUUUCUGAAACCAGUAGUGAAGUAUGUUGUUUAAUUUGAUGAUACGCAAAAAACCUUACCACAAUUUGAAUAUUUAUAUAAAUCUUUUAUUGAUUUUUACUAACAUAUAUGUAAACAAUUAAAAUGAUGCUUAUAUCUCGUUUGCGAGAUUAAGCAUCAGAAAAGAUAAUAUAUUUACAAGCGUUGCACGGCUGUCUUCAGUUAAUGUCGUGAGAUUUUGGUUAGUUCCAUUAAAUUAACGUAAACCCUUACUUUAUUUUUAUAUAAAGUAGUUCUCCGCUAUAUUGGAUAUGAUAACAGGGACUAAGACAAG